rnacentral:rRNA from 1 species
UACGGAGGGUGCAAGCGUUAUCCGGAUUUACUGGGUUUAAAGGGUGCGCAGGCGGAUAUGUAAGUCAGUGGUGAAAUCUCCGGGCUUAACCCGGAAAUUGCCGUUGAUACUAUAUAUCUUGAAUGCUGUGGAGGUAAGCAGAAUAUGUCAUGUAGCGGUGAAAUGCUUAGAGAUGACAUAGAAUACCUAUUGCGAAGGCAGCUUACUACGCAUAUAUUGACGCUGAGGCACGAAAGCGUGGGGAUCAAACAGG